CAGUUCCUGAAACCGUGUGCCUACAAUUAGUCAAAGCCCGUUAAUGGGUAAUGGCGUGCCUUUUGUAGAAUGAACCGGCGAGUUACGUUUGCUUGCGAGGUUAAGAUGAAAAGUCGGAGCCGUAGCGAAAGCGAGUCUGAACAGGGCGAAUGAGUAAGCAGAUGUAGACCCGAAACCAAGUGACCUACCCAUGACCAGGUUGAAGGUGUGGUGAAACACACUGGAGGACCGAACCCAUGUAUGUUGAAAAAUGCUGGGAUGAGUUGUGGGUAGCGGUGAAAUUCCAAACGAACUUGGAGAUAGCUGGUUCUCUCCGAAAUAGCUUUAGGGUUAGCCUCGGAGGAUGGAUCAUGGAGGUAGAGCACUGUUUGAACUAGGGGCCCAUCAAGGGUUACUGAAUUCAGAUAAACUCCGAAUACCAUCGAUCUUACUCCGGGAGUCAGACAGUGAGCGAUAAGGUCCAUUGUCGAAAGGGGAACAGCCCAGAUCACCAGUUAAGGUCCCUAAAUUUAUGCUAAGUGGAAAAGGAUGUGGCGUUGCACAGACAACUAGGAUGUUGGCUCAGAAGCAGCCACCAUUUAAAGAGUGCGUAAUAGCUCACUAGUCGAGUGGCACUGCGCCGAAAAUAUACCGGGGCUAAGCAUAAUACCGAAACUGUGGGUGCACCCGUAAGGGUGCGCGGUAGGAGAGCGUUCUAAGGGCGUUGAAGGUCGAUCGUGAGGACGGCUGGAGCGCUUAGAAGUGAGAAUGCCGGCAUGAGUAGCGAAAGAUCAGUGAGAAUCUGAUCCACCGUAUGACUAAGGUUUCCUGGGGAAGGCUCGUCCUCCCAGGGUUAGUCGGGAUCUAAGGCGAGGCCGAGAGGCGUAGUCGAUGACAAGCAGGUUGAGAUUCCUGCACUAGUUUAUUUUGUUUAAGCGAUGGAGGGACGCAGGAGGCUAAGGAAAGCGCACGGCUGGAAAUGUGCGCCCAAGCAGCAAGUCUGACAGCGAGUGAAAUGCUUGCAGUCUUAAGGACAAGCUGUGAUGGGGAGCGAAAUUAUAGUAGCGAAGUUCCUGAUGUCACACUGCCAAGAAAAGCUUCUAGUGAGAAAUAAACUACCCGUACCGCAAACCGACACAGGUAGUCGAGGAGAGUAUCCUCAGGUGAGCGAGCGAACUCUCGUUAAGGAACUCGGCAAAAUGACCCCGUAACUUCGGAAGAAGGGGUGCUGACCGCAAGGUCAGCCGCAGUGAAUAGGCCCAAACAACUGUUUAUCAAAAACACAGGUCUCUGCUAAAUCGUAAGAUGAUGUAUAGGGGCUGACGCCUGCCCGGUGCUGGAAGGUUAAGAGGAUGAGUUAGCGCAAGCGAAG
rnacentral:rRNA from 1 species